rnacentral:misc_RNA from 1 species
AAGUCGUAACAAGGUUUCCGUAGGUGAACCUGCGGAAGGAUCAUUAACACGUAUCCACGUUUUAUAAAAAAACAUUAUCAACACCAGAAAGAACUGAACUCCCUGCUGAUAAAACUGCGGUGUCGUAAUCCUGUCUUGAUGGGUCCCAGUCUAACGUGUAGUUGUUCGAGACUUGCAUUAGAUUGAAGGCUGGCAGGCGUCGACUAUCAUACCUCGAGUAUGUGCCAAAACAUUAUUAGCAGGCUUACUGACUCUAUUCUCGCGUGGAAGUCAAAUUCCAACCCUUACCAUCAUAAGGCC